rnacentral:rRNA from 1 species
AUUGAACGCUGGCGGAAUGCUUUACACAUGCAAGUCGAACGGCAGCACGGACUUCGGUCUGGUGGCGAGUGGCGAACGGGUGAGUAAUGUAUCGGAAUGUGCCCAGUCGUGGGGGAUAACGUAGUGAAAAUUACGCUAAUACCGCAUACGAUCUAUGGAUGAAAGCGGGGGAUCGCAAGACCUCGCGCGAUUGGAGCGGCCGAUAUCAGAUUAGGUAGUUGGUGGGGUAAAGGCCCACCAAGCCAACGAUCUGUAGCUGGUCUGAGAGGACGACCAGCCACACUGGAACUGAGACACGGUCCAGACACUGACGGGAGGCAGCAGUGGGGAAUUUUGGACAAUGGGCGAAAGCCUGAUCCAGCCAUUCCGCGUGCAGGAUGAAGGCCCUCGGGUUGUAAACUGCUUUUGUACAGAACGAAAAGGUUUCUACUAAUACUAGGAGCUCAUGACGGUACUGUAAGAAUAAGCACCGGCUAACUACGUGCCAGCCGCCGCCGUAA